rnacentral:lncRNA from 1 species
GAUCAUGAACUCUAAUGUGUGUGAUCUCAUAGGUCUGAAUCUAAAUUGGUAGCACAAAAAUAAAUUUCUAUACCAAUCGAAGUGAUCAUCUAGCAAUGGUACCCGACGGUCGGAUAGAUCAAAUGUGUAGAACAACAUCCUUAGAACCCAUGCAGAUAUAGUUUCUAUAUAAUUCAUCUCCUUGACCAAAAUAUUCAUAGGACACCUCAAAGUUCAACUGUCAACUCUGAUCAGGUUAUCCACAUUGUGUUUCAAAAUAUCAAAUCCAUUUGAUGGAUUAUCCUGAUCAAGAUUUUGCUAAAUUGAAAUACAGUGACUCAUUCUUUUCUAACUCUUGGAGUGGUCAAUCCCAUCUCGAUCAUACUCUGACUUUGCAAGUACUUGACUAUGCCCAUAAGUCUUCCAUCACUGAAUUAAAAAUUUAGUUAGCUCAGUACCAAAGCACAGUGAGUUGUUUGCAAGUCACUGAGGCGAUCUCAGGUCUAAGGGAUACUUAUACCUAUAUCCCAUCAGAGAUAUUCUCGACAGCAGAAUGCUCUGGAGUUGGUCACGUUCAAUGAUGAUGUACCCUUACAUCUCACCUGUAUGCCAUACCAGUGUCUCCACACUCCUUGGUUAAGAGGACAACCAACCC